rnacentral:rRNA from 1 species
UGGGGAAUAUUGGAAAAUGGGGGAAACCCUGAUCCAGCAAUGCCGCGUGAGUGAAGAAGGCCUUAGGGUUGUAAAGCUCUUUCGACCGGAACGAUAAUGACGGUACCGGGAGAAGAAGCUGCGGCUAACUACGUGCCAGCAGCCGCGGUAAUACGUAGGCAGCAAGCGUUGUUCGGAGUUACUGGGCGAACAGAGUGCGUAGGCGGUUUUCUAAGUUCGGUGUGAAAUCUCCCGGCUUAACUGGGAGGGUUCGCCGAAGACUGGGAAGCUGGAGUGUGGGAAAGGAAGGCGGAAUUCCAGGUGUAGCGGUGAAAUGCGUAGAGAUCAGGAGGAACACCGGCGGUGUAGACGGCUUGCUAGACCAUAACUGACGCUGAGGAGCGAAAGCGUGGGUAGCAAACA